rnacentral:tRNA from 1 species
GGGGUAUAACUCAGUUGGUAGAGUGCUUGCCUCACAUGCACCAGGCCCUGGGUUCAAUCCCCAACACCACCA